GGACCCUGGGCCACUGCACCCCACCAGGACGGCAGGACUGAAAAGGCCACUGAUGACCACCGAGGCCCUUCUCAGGCUGCCGCGGGUCUCAAGGAUGGGGACAGUCAGCUGGGGCCAGCCGAGCUGCAUGUGGUCAAGGGCCCAUGCAUGUGACCAGGGCCCGCCUCCCACGUCACCCAGUGCACCCUCAGCAUGGGACACGGACCUAGACACUGCCGGGGUCUCCGUCCUUGCAGGCACUGCCAGGCGCCUCUCCCUGGGAGAAGCUGCAGCUCUGAGGCUAUGGUCUUGCAGGUCAGCCACCACCUG
rnacentral:lncRNA from 1 species